rnacentral:ncRNA from 1 species
CAAAGAUUUGGUCUUAAUCUUCCUAUUAAUUAGAACUACGCUUACACAUGCAAGUAUUUGCACUCCCGUGAAAAUGCCCUUUACCGCCAAUAAGCAAGAUAGGAGCGGAUAUCAGGCACCCAUUUUGCCAAAGACAUCUUGUUUUACCACACCCCCAAGGGAACCCAGCAGUGAUUAACAUUGAACAUAAGCGACAAAAGCUUGAUUCAGCGAUAGUUGGUAGAGUUGGUAAAUCUCGUGCCAGCCACCGCGGUUAUACGAGAAACUCAAAUUAAUAGUCCCGGCUCAAAGGGUGGUUAAACGAAAAAUUAAAUAGGACUAAAAACUAACCCCGCUGUCGCACGCAAUAGUUAAAAAAAACACAACAUCGAAAGUAACCCUAUUAAAAUAAACUUGAACCCACGACAGCUAGGAGACAAACUGGGAUUAGAUACCCCACUAUGCCUAGCCAUAAACUUUGAUUUAUCCGCCAGAAUACUACGAGCAACAGCUUAAAACUCAAAAGGACUUGGCGGUGCUCUACACCCCCCUAGAGGAGCCUGUUCUAUAAUCGAUAAUCCUCGCUAAACCUCACCACCUAUUGCUAAUACAGCCUAUAUACCACCGUCCAGCCCACCCUUUAAGGGUAUAACAGUAGACAUAAUUAUAAACAUAAAAACGUCAGGUCAAGGUGUAGCAAAUAAGAUGGGAAGAAAUGGGCUACAUUUUCUAGUAUAGAAAAACACGGAAAAGUUUCUGAAACAGAACUAUAAAGGAGGAUUUAGCAGUAAAAAGAAAAAAGAGUAUUCUUUUUAAACCGGCAAUGGAGCGCGCACACACCGCCCGUCACCCUCUUUAAACCAUAUAAGCAGUGUAUAAACAAAAAUAAAAAAGAAGAAGAGGCAAGUCGUAACAUGGUAAGCUUACCGGAAGGUGAGCUUGGAACAU